GACGAACGCUGGCGGCGUGCCUAACACAUGCAAGUCGAGCGAGAGACUUCGGUCUCUAGCGGCGGACGGGUGAGUAACACGUGGGUAACCUGCCUCAAACAGGGGGAUAGCCUCCCGAAAGGGAGAUUAAUACCGCAUAACACCGCGCUAUCGCAUGAUAGUGUGAUCAAAGGAGUAAUCCGGUUUGAGAUGGGCCCGCGGCGCAUUAGCUAGUUGGUGGGGUAAAGGCCUACCAAGGCGACGAUGCGUAGCCGACCUGAGAGGGUGAUCGGCCACAUUGGAACUGAUACACGGUCCAGACUCCUACGGGAGGCAGCAGUGGGGAAUAUUGCACAAUGGGGGAAACCCUGAUGCAGCAACGCCGCGUGAGUGAUGAAGGCCUUCGGGUUGUAAAGCUCUGUCUUUGGGGACGAUUAUGACGGUACCCAAGGAGGAAGCCACGGCUAACUACGUGCCAGCCGCCGCAGUAACAC
rnacentral:rRNA from 1 species